AUAUUGGACAAUGGGCGAAAGCCUGAUCCAGCAAUGCCGCGUGAGUGAUGAAGGCCUUAGGGUUGUAAAGCUCUUUUACCAGGGAUGAUAAUGACAGUACCUGGAGAAUAAGCUCCGGCUAACUCCGUGCCAGCAGCCGCGGUAAUACGAAGGGGGCUAGCGUUGUUCGGAAUUACUGGGCGUAAAGCGCACGUAGGCGGCGAUUCAAGUCAGGGGUGAAAUCCCGGGGCUCAACCCCGGAACUGCCUCUGAAACUAGAUUGCUAGAAUCCUGGAGAGGCGAGUGGAAUUCCGAGUGUAGAGGUGAAAUUCGUAGAUAUUCGGAAGAACACCAGUGGCGAAGGCGACUCGCUGGACAGGUAUUGACGCUGAGGUGCGAAAGCGUGGGGAGCAAACAGG
rnacentral:rRNA from 1 species